rfam:Picea glauca, whole genome shotgun sequence.
AUGUAAUGCCUAUAGCGUUAAUGCACCGGAUCCCAUUAGAACUCCGCAUUUAAGUGCGCUUGGGAUAGAUUAGUAAUGGGAUGGGUGAUCUCCCAGGAAGUCUUAGUGUUUUACAUG